rnacentral:misc_RNA from 1 species
GAUGAAGAACGCAGCGAAAUGCGAUACGUAAUGUGAAUUGCAGAAUUCAGUGAAUCAUCGAGUCUUUGAACGCACAUUGCGCCCCCUGGUAUUCCGGGGGGCAUGCCUGUCCGAGCGUCAUUGCUGCCCUCAAGCACGGCUUGUGUGUUGGGCCUCCGUCCUCCUCCCGGGGACGGGCCCGAAAGGCAGCGGCGGCACCGCGUCCGGUCCUCGAGCGUAUGGGGCUUCGUCACCCGCUCUUGUAGGCCCGGCCGGCGCUUGCCGACACAUCAAUCUUUUUUCCAGGUUGACCUCGGAUCAGGUAGGAAUACCCGCUGAACUUAAGCAUAUCAAUAAGCGGAGGA